GUGAAGGUUAAAUCUCACGUGGAUUAACUAAUUACUUGCAAAUUGCAGCCUUCAGCAAUUUUUAAUAAAAGAACACCAUCCGCUUCAUGCUAAACUGUAAAAAUGGAUUUCAUUUUCAUAAUAUUAAUGUUAUUCUAUGGAACAGUGCUAUUAGAAGAAAUCCCAGAAGCAAACAGGGUACAAAUUAUAGAGCAGCUAUGUAGAGAUGGCUUCUAAUCAUAAUUGAACAUGAACAAGAACAAAUAAAUCAAGGAAGAAACUCCUCCACUUCUGCUGACCUAGAUAUGCCAGUUUUAAAGCCAGAUAAAUAUCAAGCAACCUGCAAGCGAAGUUACAUAGCAGCUGAGAGAGUGACAGUCAAGCCCAUCAUGACUGGGGACACUCGGAUACAGCAGAAGCACAGGAACUUGAUUUUGAAAUCAGAUUGCAUACUUGGAACUACCACUGUUCCCGACUUAAGCUCCUUGGCAGAGAUGCUAGCUGAAUGUGCACAUCGCCGAAAAACAUUGCCCAGACGGACGGCGGCAAAUACACUCUGGGCAAGCAACUCACCUCCCAGCUGCAGCCACAGAGCUGUGUCUGUCCCCUAGUUAGAGGACCCAUCUGUUUGCAUCUCACUCUGGUGUGGAAGUGGAGCCACAAACUGGAUCAGGAAGCCUCAUCUCCACUACCAACAUGGGGACCUGGAGUUACGCACAUCACUCACAGGUGAGCUGAAAUCCACCACUUUAGAAAGAAUGUCACAGACCUGACCCAUUGCAAGGGGAUAAGGAGGAUAGUGUGAAGAAUAAGUGAGGGGAACCCUCUACCGCAAUGUCCUGGGAGAUGGAUGGAAUUAUAGAGGAGGGAUCUUGAGAGGGGUGUGGUUUAAGAAGGUGAGAGUUUCAACCUUCCCUCUCCUAGUUUAGGAAUGCUUCUAACAUUGCCCUUGAUUUUAAAAA
rnacentral:lncRNA from 1 species